AAAGAAACUAUAAUCUCUUCUUUCACCUUAUUGAUCUCUUCUUUACAAUAAUUCAGUCAUACCAAUAACUGCUAUUUCUACCAAUAUAUUCACCCUCAUAAUCUCCAAUUAUAAUACUGUGCCUUCACAACUUUCAGCACACAAUUACCCUCAUUCCAAUCACUAGAAUUCUUCACACAGAACUGCCAUUCACAUUAUGGUGUUUCACACAAACACAGACUCAUUCUCUCUACUGAACUACAAUCAGAUUUCAGCAUUCAAUCUUUCUUCUUCUCAAAUAAUACCAAUUACAUUUCCAUUCCAUAAUUCACUUCACAAUAUUCAGAAACUCUCAAUCCUCUUAUUCAAAGAAAAUAACAAAAAAAAGAAAAGAAGUAGCACCAAGCUUAUCCUAGCUCACACUAUCAUAGCGAUGGCCCUCGUCUCAUAACUAUGACAAUUUGGCCCUCGUCUCAUGACUAUCAUUGUCUAGCCCUCGGCUCAUGACUAUCACAGUCUGGUACCCUAAUUAACUUCUACAACUCUUAUAUACUUUUCCCUGAUUUU
rnacentral:lncRNA from 1 species